rnacentral:rRNA from 1 species
UACGUAGGCAGCAAGCGUUGUUCGGAGUUACUGGGCGUAAAGGGUGUGUAGGCGGUCCUCUAAGUUUGGUGUGAAAUCUCCCGGCUCAACUGGGAGGGUGCGCCGAAAACUGGAGGGCUAGAGUACUGGAUGGGAGAGUGGAAUUCCUGGUGUAGCGGUGAAAUGCGUAGAUAUCAGGAGGAACACCUGUGGUGUAGACGGCUCUCUGGACAGUAACUGACGCUGAGACACGAAAGCCAGGGGAGCGAACGGG